rnacentral:lncRNA from 1 species
AUGUCGCCUUUCUCUAGAGCAUCGCUGGCUAGGUCUCUAAGCCCAGACACUCACCCCCGUCACCAUAGGCUUCGCCCUUCUCCAGAUCCACCGCUUCUUCCCCUACCCCUAGAUCCACCAGCUUCCCUAGCCUCUCCAACCCUCGAGUUCUUCCCUCCUGUUGGUCCUUCCCGUCAGCCCCCUACUCUUCCUAGCCUGGGCGUCCCUGCUUCAGAUCCAGCUUUCGUCAGCAGAAGAGAUCGGGUUCCGGGGACGGGCUGCCCUUUCCGGUCUGCGGUAUCCUCGCCAGAUCUGCAGAAUCUGAUGCUGGAUUCGAGUUCUGCUCCAAAUUCUCGCCUGUCUUCUCGAUGUCAAGGUUCGCCGAAAGGUGAACUGCCGGGAUUCAAGCGUCUUUACUCCGAUGUAGUUACUGCUCCUCCUCAACCUCCAGCUGCCAAGUCUUCAGAUUUCAUUGCAGUGCAGCCUCCCUCAAGAUUUUCAGGGGCAGUAGCAAAGGACAUAAGGAUCCUGCAGAGUGGACGUCUGCUCGAUUUGUCUACCCAAAAUCUCUCUGCAUCAGCGCAAGGUACAGGAGACAUUCAAGUUGGAGAGAAUCCUUGGAAAGAGGUCAAAGGAAAACGCAGGUGGAGAAACCACUCCGCAUUCACUACACCCAACAACCUGGAGCAAAUGCAUUCAAGAAAAGCAAGAUUUCUUCAACACAUGGAAGGCAAGUGUUUCCGUUGUUUGAGUACAAAGCAUAAGAUCGUCGACUGCAGGGAGCCGUUUCGAUGUUGGCGCUGCUUAAAAUUUGGUCAUCUGGCUUCCAGCUGUAGCAAGAAGUUUGCCUAUAAGUCCACCUUGCCUCCUCUGAAGACUCACACUGAAGCUUUUCCUGCUCUUGCUCCUCUUUGUUUUCCCCCACGAUCAUUUCCAUCCCCUCCCAAGUCCCCGAUCAUGGACGACCUCACAGCUCGUCCCCUCCUCGACUCGGUGGUGAUCUCGGCCACAGGGGAGAUCGAGAGGAACCGGGAACGCUUCUCGGCCCGUUCCUUGGUGGCAUGGCAAGUGGGUGCCCAAGAAGGAAGGGUCGAGCUCAACACGUUUGCAGAUGACGUUCCCUCAGCCUUCAACAUCAGAAGAGCUGACAUCCAAUUCACCAAGUUCCACCCAGAAGACUUCUUCAUCACUUGCUCCAACCAGGGUGAUCGAGACGCAAUUCUUCGCCAGCCAAGACUUGCCACGGCUUCCGGGAGAGUGUAUGUUUUUCACCUUGAACCACUCUGCAACCCGCCGCCGUCUGAGCCGAAGAAAGGGUGGACAUACAAUGUCUUGGUUCAUGUUGACACCUUGGAAGAUCUCCUCUCUCGCAAAGCUCGAGCUUACAAGUGGGAUUAUGAU